GCCAGGUAUGCUCCACCGCACAGUUACCUGUCAAUAGCAAGAUAGUCUAGCCCACUAUAAAAUGAGCUGCUUGGCCUCUCCUCACUCUCUUUAAGCUGUCACAUUUCCUACUCUCCCCUCUAGACCUUCUUCUCUCUGUCCCUCCCUCUCUCACCCCUCUUUCCACGUGGCCACUGCCAGUCUCUCUCCAUCUUUCUACCUUCUCUCUUUCUCCCUGCCUUUCUACAAUGAAGCUCUAAAACCAUAGACUGUCUCUGACCAUCAAGGCCUGCUGUACUUUAACGCUGGGACAGGCUUUCCCCUAACAAGCAGUGUCUAACCUCUCUCUUAAAGGCCUUCCUGUCUUCCAGCCAUGGACCAGGCGAGGAACUCUCUGCUGCAUGGAAACCACCCAGUGCCCCCUCUCUCCCUGCCCUCUUCUACUUUCGGCCCCUGGGGCUCCCAUUCUGUUCUCAGCUCUUCUGUGGGUGUUUGGGAUGCCUGUGACUGAGAACUGUUGCUAGGACUGCCCCUCCUUCUCCCCCCCCCCCCAAGCUGGUGUCCAAUGGCUUCCCACAGCCAGAAACCCACCCUCCCACUUGGAAAGUGUGCAGCAGUCCUCCGGGUCCACCCUCCCUGAGCACUGGAACUCUGGCUGGAUGUGGGUUUUCUCCCAUUCCCACUUUCCCCUACACCCACUGCUCAACAAAAGAGGAGACAGAAUUUGGUGUUUCAAGUUCCCAACAUCUUCGAUUGCCUGCUAUGAUGGACUGUUAAUUGUAGAUGUAUGCUAAAAUAAAUCUUUCUUUCCUUA